rnacentral:rRNA from 1 species
GAUGAACGCUGGCGGCGUGCUUAACACAUGCAAGUCGAACGAUGAAGCUCAGCUUGCUGGGUGGAUUAGUGGCGAACGGGUGAGUAACACGUGAGUAACCUGCCCUUAACUCUGGGAUAAGCCUGGGAAACUAGGUCUAAUACCGGAUAGGAGCGCCUACCGCAUGGUGGGUGUUGGAAAGAUUUAUCGGUUUUGGAUGGACUCGCGGCCUAUCAGCUUGUUGGUGAGGUAAUGGCUCACCAAGGCGACGACGGGUAGCCGGCCUGAGAGGGUGACCGGCCACACUGGGACUGAGACACGGCCCAGACUCCUACGGGAGGCAGCAGUGGGGAAUAUUGCACAAUGGGCGAAAGCCUGAUGCAGCGACGCCGCGUGAGGGAUGACGGCCUUCGGGUUGUAAACCUCUUUCAGUAGGGAAGAAGCGAAAGUGACGGUACCUGCAGAAGAGGCACCGGCUAACUACGUG